rnacentral:ribozyme from 1 species
GAAGAGGGGCACUGAGUAUAUGUAGUUUUUAUUUAUUUAUUUAUCUUAUUCAUUUGAAAAAAAAAGAAGA